AGCUUUGUGCAGUGGCAAUAUUGUAGCCAAUGAGGUUUAUCCAAGGUGGGAUUAUUGCUAAUUGAAAAUUUUUCCUAAUACUCACCAUGACAAAGAGAAAUAUAGUUGGCAGUGGCAACUUUUGAUGGCCUCUACAGAGA
ensembl:snRNA U4 U4 spliceosomal RNA